rnacentral:rRNA from 1 species
AUGAAGACACUUUGGAGUGCGAUGUCGUCCCAAUGUCCAUUUUCCACCUGCUUCUUGGCCGACCAUGGCAAUUUGACUGCGGUGUCAUCCACAACGGUCGUACCAAUCGCUAAUAGAUUCAAGAUGAAAGGAAAGGCGUUCGUGCUACGACCUAUGUCUCCAAGUCAAGUGAUCGCCGACAAGCAAGCCACCCAUCAUGGAGAAAAGAGUGAGAGAGUGACCCACCAAAAAGAGAGUGAGCGCCACAAGCAAAAAUCGAGUGUCUCCAUGAUGAGCGACAAGAGAAAUUUAGUCCUAUUUGCCACCAAAAGUGAGAUAAGAGAAGUGUGUGAGAACCCAUCAAGUGUUAUGCACUAUGUCCUCAUGUGCAAGGACGAGGUACCAAAAACUAACACCUCUCACGAUCUACCUUUAGUGUUGUCUUCUCUUUUGCAGGAAUUCCAAGAUGUUUUCUCCGACGAGCUACCUCCGGGCCUACCUCCUCUAUGA